rnacentral:rRNA from 1 species
GAUGAACGCUGGCGGCGUGCUUAACACAUGCCAGUCGAACGGAAAGGCCCAAGCUUGCUUGGGUGCUCGAGUGGCGAACGGGUGAGUAACACGUGGGUGAUCUGCCCUGCACUUUGGGAUAAGCCUGGGAAACUGGGUCUAAUACCGGAUAGGACCAUCGUUUAGUGUCGGUGGUGGAAAGUUUUUCGGUGUGGGAUGAGCUCGCGGCCUAUCAGCUUGUUGGUGGGGUAAUGGCCUACCAAGGCGUCGACGGGUAGCCGGCCUGAGAGGGUGUACGGCCACAUUGGGACUGAGAUACGGCCCAGACUCCUACGGGAGGCAGCAGUGGGGAAUAUUGCACAAUGGGCGCAAGCCGGAUGCAGCGACGCCGCGGGGAGGAUGACGGCCUUCGGGUUGUAAACUCCUUUCGCCAAGGACGAAGCGUUUUGUGACGGUACUUGGAGAAGAAGCACCGGCUAACUACGUG